AGUUUCCACCACUCCUGUAUUUGCCGCUCCAGUCUCCUAUCUGCAGGCUGGAGAAAAGGCUGAUUACUAAUCUUCCUUUAUUUGUCACAAAUCAAAAGAAUAUGAUGAAAACAGUCGGUAGUAUGGACAGCAUGACUAAUUAUUUUGUCACUAGCUCAGGUGGCAGGAAAGCCCCUCAACCCAUGGCCUCUGCUGCAUAUUAAAGCAGUCAGCUGGAUCCCAGCUCCUCGCCAUUCUAACAGGCGUCGGUUGACAGUUCUCAUCCAACGUAAAGCGCGACUGUAGCCUCCACUAAAAAGCAUUUCAGUUUCUGCCACGAGGGGGCGCCUCAGGCCAAGACCCGAGAUGAGGUUGCCGCUAACCUCACUGCACGGCGGCUGCGAUUUGUGACUGAGGCCAGUGAAGAAAAGGACUGUUGGUGGCAGCUGAAGGGCCUGCCUUCUCAGGAAGGACUCUCUGAGGCCUUGGACAUGAACAGUACAAGUUGGACCUGGUGGCAGUGUGACUGAGAGCAGGGACCCUCUCCUCACUGAUGUGUGCGCCACUACAGCCCCUCUGGGGAGGAUGGUUUUGAAAGCCUCAGGAUAAAACACCUGUUUGGACAUCAGCCUCUCUACAAAGAAACCCAGCAGCAGUGGAAGUGGUGUGGUCUCAAAGUGGAAGUGGUUGCGGAUGGGGUCAGGGAGAAGAAUAUGGGAGGACUGGGUUGAAAUCCCUAGGGAACUCUAGAAGACCUUAGAAGGGAUUUUGCUGGGCUGAGUUCUGGCGCUGCAUAGUUAAAGAAUAAAUGCCAGCAAAAUAUGGCCGUUACCAUUUACCCCAUGCUGAGCCAUAUUUUACCCCCAUGAGAGUGUCCACAUCCCCUCUUAUAGCAGUUUCUGGGUUAAGACAAAUGAUCAGAGCAAAGAAAGUUAGGAACAUGGCAACUCUCAGUGGCAGCAGAGAAAACGUGAAGUUUGCAAUAUAACGAGCCAUAAAUAGGUCAAGUAGUAACACGUAUAGACAAGAGAAACUGGUGAUGUGUGUUCCAGAACUGCAGCUUCAGCAUCACUGAGCAUGGCUUCCUGCAGCCUGAAGUUCCCCAACUUUAUAAAAUAACGGCAAAGAAACCAGACUCAGAGUGAGAGAUCGACAGGAACAAGGGAACCCGCUGGCUACAAAAUUGCAAUGAAAAUGUGAGCUUCUAAGGUUCAAAUCCCAGAGACCUGUACCAAUAGGAGCCUGAAGUUAAAAAAGCCAGCCCACUGCUUCGGAUGACACCUGAUGUGGAGUUUGGAGAGGAGGUGCUGUGGUGUUAGCUAAUCCCCUCAUGUGCACUCAAAGGCUGGAAACACAUCUUGAGUUCCGGCCUAGAAGAGCUCAGCCUUCUGCAAGCACAGGUGGUUACAGGACCUUGGUCUGGAUGCAGGAAGCUAGACUGCCUGCAAAAUGAUGCAAGGGUUUCUCAACUCCCAUCUCUACCCUCUGUCUCUUUACCUUUUCCCCAGGCCCUAAUUUUGCUGAGGUGGGUGCCAGUGGAUGGGGCAGCCAGUAAGAUUGAUGUGGGUUGAUGUUCACACAUGAAAUUAGGAAGAGGAAGAAGAGGCACCCCGAAAACAAUCCUCUCCCACUGCUUUCUACCUCAUGCAUUGACUAUAAGGAAGCAAAACUAGUCCCUAGAAGGAUGCUCUAGAAAUUAAACAUUUUUCCUUUUGUCUGUGGCCCUUAAUAGCUACAGUAUUUGAAAAUUCAUUAAAUUCAAAGCCUUUUAAUUGUAUACAAAACCCAAGAAGAUUAUAUCCAUCUGUUUUUUUUGGCGAGGAAGAUUCGCCCUGAGAUAACAUUGUUGCCAAUCCUCCUCUUUUUUUGCUUGAGGAAGAUUGUCCCUGAGCUAACAUCUGUGCCAGUCUUCCUUUAUUUUGUAUGUGGGAUGCCUCCACAGCAUGACUGGUGAGUGGAGUAGGUCCACACCCAGGAUCUGAACCUGUGAACCUGGGCCACCAAAGUAGAGCUAGCAGAACUUUAACCACUUGGGCACGGGGCUGGCCCCAUCUUGAAAUCAAGAUCAUAAAAGCCUUGUGUGUGUGUGUAUGCGUGUGUUUAUUUAUAUUUCUACAUGUAUAUGAUGUGCAUGUGUAUAUGUUGGGAGGAGGGAAGAGCAAAACCCGCAGCUGCUUCAGGCAUUAAAAUAACAGCUAACACUCACACGUGCUGGCUCUGUGCCAGGAGCUGUUCUAAAGGCUCUGCACACUCACUGUGCUUUCUCAUUUCAUCCUCACAACAACCCUGUGAAGUACAUAUUAUCUCUUCAUUAGUAUUCCUGUUCCACAGAUGGGGAAACUAAGACACAGAGAAGUCAGGAGUGGAGACAGGGUUUGGAUCAAGGCUGUUAGUGCUCCAGGGGCUCCCUCUCUGGGGUCCAUUUAAAAGGCAGCAGAUGGGCAAGACUACCUCAUUUGGCAGUUGAAUUCCACUGACACUGCCAAAGAUCCUUCUAUAGUGGCUUCCUCGUUCAGACGUUUGCUUGCAGGAACACGUUGGAAGGUUGGAACCUUUGCCUGAAGGAUAGAAAAUGACAGAUUAGGGGAAUGGAAUGUCACAUUUCAGGACAUGUCUGGGGGAAAAGAUCCAGAACAUCAAGUUUCUUUGACUCCUUCCCUCUUUCCUUUCCAUCAUGACUUUCUGACCUUCCCUUUCUCACUGACAGGCAUCUCCAUAGCUCAAGACCAAAAGAAAACCCCUCGCUUUCUCCCCUAACUGCAGGUCUGGCAGGCAUCUCAGGCACUGAGGUGCAUUUGUCUGCCAGUGGUCAGUCAUAAAGAGCCAGCCCAACUAAGACAGUAGAGAAGGUUGAUCUGACAUUGUGUAAUUCAAGAAAUGUCUUCACGACUGCGACAACCAUCUGAUGAUAAUGUAGCCACCAUUUAAUGAGUAGCCACUAUUGGUUGGGCAGUAUCAUAUGCUCUCACUAAUCUAUAAAAUAAGCCUACGUGGGAUCAUCCCCAUUUUACAGACAAGGAAACUGAGGCUUCUGCAUUCUCCUCUUGCUGUUUUUAUUUCAGCUACAUCAGCUUUUUCUCAGUUUCUUUAAUUUUACCUGCUCCCUCCUGCCACAGAUCCUUUGCACAUGCUGUUCCUUCUGACUAAAAUGCUCUUUCCCUCAUCCCCUUUAAAUUAUAAUGGAGUUCAGAACUUAUCUAAGUGUGUAACUACACAUUUGUUAGUGUCGUUUUUAAAUAACGUCUGUCUCUCACUUGGUACUCUGAGGCCCACAAGAGCAGGGAUUAUAAGUGUCUUUGCUCAUUAUCAUCAUCAGAAGUUAGUACAAUAUCAGGGACAUGGUAGGAACUCAAUAACGUAGGUUGCCUUAAUUAGUUUUCCCCAAUUGGAAGAGCUAAGAGUCAAAUCAAGUUCUGCCUCGCUCCAAAGCCUUAACUCUCUAUGGUGCCGCACUGCCUCCAAUGUAUUCAAGGCACUGUAGGAAAAGAAAUCAACCUUAAAUUCAUAACCUAUAAAGAGACGCUAAGGAAAGGGAACCACCUGGCACACAACAGCACAACCACAAUUGCAGAACAUAGGCCUUGGAGAUCGCAGCCUUUGAACUUGUGAAUUCGUGGAGAUGCCCUGUCCAGCCUGCUUGCCUUUUCUCGUAGUUCUCUCUCCAUCUGUCACCUAGAAAUCCGUGGCUUUGCUUUGUGCCACUUGUCCUACUCUUUCCCCAUCCCACACUUAAUUUCAGUUGCCCUCAGUUCAUGGUUGUCAC
ensembl:lncRNA